GCAGGUUCUGUGGCUGUCUCUAGUGGUGUCCUGUGCUAGCAUUGGGUCCAGGAAAAAAAAAAUACUACACUAGACAGAGCAAAUGUCUUUUCCUCUCUCUACUCCCCCCAUGUCCAUCCAAUUUAUCAAUCACCACUUGUGUCCAAAAGACUUUGGUCCCCUGUGCAUCAGGUUUAUUUGUUGUUAGGUUUUAUUAAUACAUUUGUAUUGUUAGUUACAUUUUCUUGUAUUGUUAAUUCCACACUUUUCUCUAUGCACUCUGGUUCUACUUCCCCAAGCCCUAAAGGGUAGUUCUUGGGCCCCCAUAACCUGUAAGAACUUGGCCCAUAAUUGCAGGGCCCCAUCUUUCAGGUCCCCAAAAACCUCUUAAGUACAACUGUUAAAAAUAGGGAAUUCUGCAACAUUUUAGCAACUAAAUGUUAGUUUAAGUCCAAAUCAGCUUAAUCUUGCAUGACAACUGUAGUCCUCCUACAAAAUCUUAUUUGUUGUGUGUGCUUAAGGAGGUCCUGACCUCAGUAACUUUUAUUGUUUGAUGGCUAUUGCAGCAUCAAACUUGGGCCUCAUCCUAUUUGUCAAUGUACCCAAUUAUUGUAAUGGUUAUGGUUUUAUUGUAUUUCCAAUUAAUAUAACUAUAAUUGUUUGAAUUUGUGUUUAGGUUAUAUCUGGUGUUUAGUCAGUUGUAAUGGUUUUAGUUAUAUUCACCUGGUUAUAAUUGUUUGGUUUGUUUGCAACAGAUCACCUGUGCUCUACCAUGACAACUACUGUAAUGAUCAUAGAUCAAGGGGCAG